CCAAUUUUAAAAAGAACAGAAAGCUGUUUGCUUUCUCUCCCUCCCCUAUUUCUCUCCGUCGAUCAUGUUCUCCACCGCCCGCCGUACCACCACCGUACCCGGUGGCCGACGAAGCGCGGAGAUGGGCUUCUUAGCCUCGUUUUGAGGCACAUUCGAAGGCCAAGCCUUCUCAACCCCAAAGAAAUCGAAAGAAAGGUCCCCCCUCUCCCCGGUUCGACUUCGGCGAUUGGAGAAGAGAUCUCCAGCGAUGAGUCUGUGGGAAGAUCAAGGUGAGGUUACCUUUCUCUUUACCUUUUCGUUUAUUUUCGUACAUGAAACAGAAAAAAGAACUAAAACACAAUAAAAAAAACAAAGAAAUCAAAACCAAGAACUAGAUGAAAGAAACUAUUGUAAAAACCAAAAAUCACCUUUUAUUUCUUGUUUUUUUAAGAAAAAGGGACCGAACCCCAUACAACUGAUUUUGCUUGGCUUUUUAUAGCCAUUUUACAUGAGUUCUUUAUCUAUUUUUGUCUCUGUUUUGCGUGUUUGGUUUCAUCUUGCAGGGAGUCAGAGGAGUUGGUGGAGCAGGUGAGGCCGUGCGUCGGCGGUCAGAGGAAAGGUGAGGCAGCCAGGAGCAGGUGCAGCGAUGGGACGUGCGGCGGCCGGCGGAGUUGGUGGGUCUGCUGGUAUGGGUUCUUUUGUUUCUUUCUUGGGUCCGGGCAAAUGGGCCUGCAACAG
rnacentral:lncRNA from 1 species